AGCAGCCGCGGUAAUUCCAGCUCCAAUAGCGUAUAUUAAAGUUGUUGCAGUUAAAAAGCUCGUAGUUGAAUUUCGGGGUCAGUAGGCUGGUCGUGCCACUGGUAUGCACUGGUCUCACUGAUUCCUCCUUCCUGAUGAACCGUAAUGCCAUUAAUUUGGUGUUGCGGGGAAUCUGGACUGUUACUUUGAAAAAUUAGAGUGUUUAAAGCAGGCUAACGCUUGAAUACAUUAGCAUGGAAUAAUGAAAUAGGACGUUCGAUCUUAUUUUGUUGGUUUCUAAGAUUGACGUAAUGAUUAAUAGGGAUAGUUGGGGGCAUUAGUAUUCAAUUGUCAGAGGUGAAAUUCUUGGAUUUAUUGAAGACUAACUACUGCGAAAGCAUUUGCCAAGGAUGUUUUCAUUAAUCAAGAACGAAAGUUAGGGGAUCGAAGACGAUCAGAUAUCGUCGUAGUCUUAACCAUAAACUAUGCCGACUAGGGAU
rnacentral:rRNA from 1 species